GUGUCUGGUUCUUCACGGGCCUUUGAAUCUGCCAGAUCCAUCCUCCCGGCAGACGCCACAUACAGGUGACAUCCAAUGUCUUCUCACCUUUCGCAGACAUCUUUCUGAACCACUUGUGCCCACCCACUCUGCACACUGCAUUGUGACCCACUUCCAGACCUCCUGGAUGACUUGAAAUCAAUGCUUACUGAGAACAAAGUUGGAGAAGUAACAUGGAAUUUCUUAACUUGUAGCAGAAAAGGUGGAGUGCUCAUGAUUAUAAGCAUCACGAUUCUAACCUCUGAGGGGUCGAGAGGUGUCAAAGAAAACAGUUUACGAGCUGAGACGAGGUCAUGUAUGAACUCUAGAGACGGCCACUGAAAGUUGUGAAGGAGACAAAGCAAAAUGCCCCACUAAUUUUGACCGCCUUCACGAGGAGAAUCAGAGAAGACUAUCGGCGUGAAUUCUGCACAUCUUCACCAGGAGAUCCGUGGUCCCUUGCUCUCCAGAUGCGCUAUAAGAUACAUCCUGCAUCUAGCAUGAUGAACGAUCUCCAAAAUCUCUGAUGCCUAAGCCAUGUCCUAUUGUCCAGAUUAAGG